rnacentral:rRNA from 1 species
AUUGAACGCUGGCGGCAGGCCUAACACAUGCAAGUCGAACGGCAGCGGGGGAUAGCUUGCUAUCCUGCCGGCGAGUGGCGGACGGGUGAGUAAUGCCUGGGGAGCUGCCCAAUCGAGGGGGAUACCAACUGGAAACGGUUGCUAAUACCGCAUACGCCCUGCGGGGGAAAGGUGGGACCUUCGGGCCGUACCGCGAUUGGAUGCACCCAGGUGGGAUUAGCUGGUUGGUGAGGUAACGGCUCACCAAGGCGACGAUCUCUAGCUGGUCUGAGAGGAUGACCAGCCACACUGGAACUGAGACACGGUCCAGACUCCUACGGGAGGCAGCAGUGGGGAAUAUUGCACAAAUGGGGGAAACCCGUGAUGCAGCCAUGCCGCGUGUGUGAAGAAGGCCUCGGUUGUAAGUACACUUCUAGUGGGAGGGAAGGGG